rnacentral:rRNA from 1 species
GACGAUGAAGCCCAGCUUGCUGGGUGGAUUAGUGGCGAACGGGUGAGUAACACGUGAGUAACCUGGCCUUAACUCUGGGAUAAGCCUGGGAAACUGGGUCUAAUACCGGAUAGGAGCGUCCACCGCAUGGUGGGUGUUGGAAAGAUUUAUCGGUUUUGGAUGGACUCGCGGCCUAUCAGCUUGUUGGUGAGGUAAUGGCUCACCAAGGCGACGACGGGUAGCCGGCCUGAGAGGGUGACCGGCCACACUGGGACUGAGACACGGCCCAGACUCCUACGGGAGGCAGCAGUGGGGAAUAUUGCACAAUGGGCGCAAGCCUGAUGCAGCGACGCCGCGUGAGGGAUGACGGCCUUCGGGUUGUAAACCUCUUUCAGUAGGGAAGAAGCGAAAGUGACGGUACCUGCAGAAGAAGCACCGGCUAACUACGUGCCAGCAGCCGCGGUAAUACGUAGGGUGCGAGCGUUAUCCGGAAUUAUUGGGCGUAAAGAGCUCGUAGGCGGUUUGUCGCGUCUGUCGUGAAAGUCCGGGGCUUAACCCCGGAUCUGCGGUGGGUACGGGCAGACUAGAGUGCAGUAGGGGAGACUGGAAUUCCUGGUGUAGCGGUGGAAUGCGCAGAUAUCAGGAGGAACACCGAUGGCGAAGGCAGGUCUCUGGGCUGUAACUGACGCUGAGGAGCGAAAGCAUGGGGAGCGAACAGGAUUAGAUACCCUGGUAGUCCAUGCCGUAAACGUUGGGCACUAGGUGUGGGGACCAUUCCACGGUUUCCGCGCCGCAGCUAACGCAUUAAGUGCCCCGCCUGGGGAGUACGGCCGCAAGGCUAAAACUCAAAGGGAUUGACGGGGGGCCCGCACAAGCGGCGGAACAUGCGGGAUUAAUUCGAUGCAACGCGAAAAACCUUUACAAGGCUUGGACUUGUUCUCGAUCCCCCGUAAAGAUACGGUUUUCCCCUUUUGGGGCGGGGUUCACAGGUGGGUGCAGGGUUGGCCGUCCGCCUCGGGUUCGUGAAAUGUUUGGGUUUAAGUCCCCCAACCGAACGCCAACCCUCUCUUUCCUUGUUUGCCCGCCCCUUCCUGGGUUGGGGAAAUUCUUGGGAAAACCUGGCCGGGGGUUCAACUUCGGAAAGAAAGGGGGGA